rnacentral:lncRNA from 1 species
AACAAGCUCAAAUUCCUUCUUUUCAUAUUCAUCUCUUUCAUUUUGAAUUGCAACUUUAUCCUGCCUAAAUUCCUCAACAAUGAACCACCCAUCAGGACAGCCUCAAAAUGAACUUCCUUGGUCCGCCGGAUUCUGAGAUUGUUGCUCUGACCUGAAAACUUGUAACCCUUUCUUCUUUCUUCAAUAUCAGUUGUGUCUUUUUAAUUAUAUGAAUUAGUUUAUCAAUUAAAUAUAUGGACAUUUCAGGUUGCAUUUCAUACUGGUGCCCAUGCAUCACCUUUGGCCAGAUUGCUGAGAUUGUUGAUAAAGGGUCGACUUGUAAGUUAUUAAUUUCUAAAUUGAAAUCUUAUCAUCUUAGGUUUGCAGACAUAUAUAUAUAUUUAAAGAGAUAUUAUGUAAUUAAUAAUAAUGUUGAAAAACACUGUUGGAUGGUGCAGCAUGUGGGGCAAGUGGGGCACUAUACACAUUAAUAAUGUUCAUCACCGGGUGUGGGUGCUUAUAUUCUUGCUGCUACCGAUCCAAACUGAGAAAGCAGUAUAACUUGAAAGGAGGCGAUUGUGGCGAUUGCAUGCGUCAUUUCUGCUGCGAGCCUUGUGCCUUGACACAAGAGUAUCGUGAGCUCCAGAACCGUGGAUUCGACAUGUCUAUCGGUAUGUCUACAUACCAAUAUUAUACCCCUUUUAAUUAUUCUUAAUAUAACUUCAAGUAUAUUAAUUGAGUAGCUGUAAACAAAUAUCUCCGAAUAAAUAUGUUGGUAAUGAUGAGAUAAAUUAUUGUUUGAGGUCAUUAAUUUUGUGGGGGUAUAUUUAUAUAUGCAGGUUGGCAUGCAAAUGUGGAGAAGAACCCAGGGCUGGCAAUGGCUCCAGCGGUAGAAAAAGGCAUGAGCAAAUAGAUGAUGAUGAUGAUGAGACCACUGCAUUAAUAUCAUCUUUACAUGUAACACUUAAUUCCUUGGCUUUCCAUAAUUGGUUGAUUGUACGGCUUGCCAAUUGAAUUUCAAGUUAUGUAUGUUUGUGAUUGUCAAAUAUAUUAAUAAAAAGUGUUACUAUUCAUGUUAGAUCUUCAUGAAUAAGAAUGAGAAUCGAAAAUAACUUGUAAUAUUGUGUGUGCAUGUUUGGUAUUUAGGUGAAAUACUUAGAAAGAGAGGUUGGAUUAAAUUAAUUUUUUAUUAUCAAAAUGGAUGAUUUUAAUUUUUAUAUUAAUAAAAAGAAUUAAAUAAAAUUAAUAUUUAUUGUUUUAGAAAAUGACAUCAAAUUAUUGUUUUUUAUAGUUCAAUCCAAAUAAAAUAUCUACAAAAUCAUUAAAAACUUUUAAAAUGUGACUUUGUUAAAUAGUAAAUAGCAUUUUUUUAAAAGGGUUCAUAUAUAUCGUGAUACCUAAAGUUGGCAACUUCUACUUAGUAUCUAAAUCGGUACAUAAACUUGAAAAUUGUAAGUCAACUUCGUAUUUUUAUAAGUAUGAUGAUGUUGGUGUAGUGUGAGGAAGAAGACUUGAAUGGGUUUGAUUAUUUUUAAUAAUACAGGAAUUUACAUAUUAUAAGUAAAUAGACACUCACAUUCUUUAUGUAUUAUAAGGAAGAAGACUAAGUCGAUCUACUUUGUAAUCUCAUCAAUCUUAAUUUUCUCAAUUGUUAAGGGAGUUCAAAUGAAAUACAAAAUUUUGGUAAAAAAAAGUAUCCAAUUUUGUGAAUAAAAAAUAUAUGGUAAAAAAGAUUUGGUAUCGAUACUUCGGCGCGGGUAUCAAUACUCGAUACAUUGCUUUUGGUUGGAAAGUAGUGUCUGGAACGGCCAUGGGAUGUGUUGUUUUCCAAACCGGUAAGGCGAAAAGGUUUGUGAAUUUGGUUGAAGACCAACAUGAGAAGAGGCGAAGAAGAAAACCAAAAUAUAGCAAUCGCAUCAAUGGAUGAAGAAGGAUCUAGUUGGUGCAAAUGAAGUUAAAGCAUUUGUGCUGUGUCUUCAUAAUUUCUUGUUUAGUAGUCUGUCAGAAAGUUUUUCCUAUGGUGAAAAGUUGCAUUGGUAUGUGUCUGUCUUUAUGAUUGUACCAAUUCCUCUGUAUUUCAUUGCAUUUCGUACUAUUUGUAAGGGUUUAGUUCGAGUGUAACAUCUUGUAUGGUGCAACUAUGUAUGUCUUCUUUCUUGAUUAUUGAAAUUAUAAUCAAAAUUAAUACAUGUUCUUUUUAUUAGCUUAAGGGCGUAAAAACACUUCAAAAUUUUCAAAAAAUAAAAUAAAAUUUUAAGUCCCUCUUUUUUUUACACUCAAUUGAAAUUUUUAAAAUGUAUCAAAAAUAUCUUUACAGUUCUUCAAAAAAAAAAACAAUUAAACCCCUAUUUUUUUUCCGCUCAAUUGGGUACUUGAACUUUCAUAAUGCAUCAAAAAUGCCUUAAAUUUUUUUCAAAAAAGCAAUUAAGCCCCUACUCUUAUUAAAAAUUAGAAAAAAAUCAUAAAAAUAAUAAAUUUUAGAAAAAAUUAUUAAAUUUUAAUAAAAAUUUAAAAUUUUAUUAAAAAUUAGAAUUUUUUUUUAGAAAAAUCGUCAAAAAAUAAAAAAUUAUAAAAUCCAUCAAAAAGUUUUAACAAUUAACUUUAACUAUUGAUCGUUAAAGUUAACGACCUCUAGUUUUUUCAAUUAAAGUCAUUAUGUGUCGCAACUCAACGUGACAUGUAGCGAAAAUAGAUAAAAAAGUAAAAAUCAAUAAAAGUUAUAGAAAAAUUAUAAAAUAUUUCUUUUGGUAGAAUAAUUUUUAUAAAUUUUUUUUACAAAAUUUAUAUUUCUUUACAUUUUGUAUAAUUUUCUUAUAACUUUAUAAAAUUUUAUAAAUUUUUAUAUUUCUAUAUAUUUUAAAAUUUUUUAAAAUUUUUAUAAAAUUUUACAAUUUUUAUAUAUUUUUAAUAAAUUUUUAAUAUUUGAUUUUUUAUUAAAAUUUAAUAAUAUUAUAGAUUUUAUUGAUUUUAAUUUUUUAUCUAAUUUUUAAUAAAAUUAGGGGGUUAAUUGCUUUUUUUUUAAGUUUGAGGGUCUUUUUGAUGCAUUUUGAAAGUUCAAGUACCCAAUUGACUGCAAAACAAAAAGAAAAAAAGUAGGGGCUUAAUUGCUUUUUUUGAAAAUGUUUGAGGGCUUUUUUGAUGUAUUUUGAAAGUUCAAGUACCCAAAUGAGUGCAUAAAAAGAACAGGGGUUUAGUUGCUAUUUUGAAAAAGUUUGAGGGCUUUUUGCACCUUUAAACCUCUUUUCUUUUUCUAAAUUUAAUUUAGAACCAACUUUGUGUAAAGACUUGGGAAAUUUAAUUAGCAAAAUUUCUUUCCAUGUAAAAAUUUCCCCUAUUUCUUGUUUGAAUUUAAAGCAAUACAAUAUUUUUCUAGCAAAUAAUAGAAAAUGACAGUCAAUUAAUUCCAGCAAUACAACAUUUCCAGUCUGGUGGAAAACAGCUAGGGACCAAAUUUUUAAAGUGUUGUUUACUACACACUUAGGGACCAUAUAUGUAUAUAUAUAUAUUCCAGUCUGGGUCUUUGUCGUGUUUUGUUGGUUGGCUAUGGCCUUCUUGUUGUUUCAUGGCCACUGCCCGUGAAUUAAGUCAUAUGUGGCCUUGUUUGCUAGACCUUAGUUGCUAAGUUAAAGGGAGUGAAUAGAGCACCAUAUUUCUUCUUCUGCGUGGAAAAUAAGUUGGCAUUAUGCCAAAUUCCACAUUCAUACAUAGAAAGGAAGCAAGGCCAAGUCAUUAUACUUUGUAAUCUCAUCAAUUCUAAUUAUUUCACUUCUUCAUUCUUUAGGGAGUUCAAGUGAAAUACAAAUUUUUCCACAUCCAAUCUCAUAAAUAAUCCGUCUUUGAACUUUCACAAAAAAAUAUUAAAUACCCAUUCACUUUAAUUCUACUAUUCUUAAAUCAUUCAAGUUUUGUGGAAAAUAUGCUUCUUGGAUAAAAUUAUUCAACACACAUGCCUUGAAUUUUAUGCAAUAAAAUAAAUCAAUAUAGGCCACACAUGCUUUGAAUAUUUAAGUAGUCCACAAUUUUGUUCGUUUGUGUGCAAAAUUCUACAUUGCUUGACAGCCAUACAUUCUAAGUAAAUAGACACCCACAUUGUUUACGUAUUAUGAAGAAGAAGACUAAGUCAGUCUACUUUGUAAUCUCAUCAAUCUUAAUUUUCUCAGUUAUUUAGGGAGUUCAAAUGAAAUACAAAAUUUUGGGAAAAAAAAUGUAUCCAAUUUUGUGAAUGAAAAAUAUAUGGUAAAAAGGAUUUGGUAUGGAUACUUCGGCUCGGGUAUCAAUACUCAGGGUAAGUUUAUCGAUACAUUGCUUUUGGUUGGAAAGUGGUGUUGAUAGGUGAUGACUAAAAUUUGAUAAAUUUGAAAAGUACAUGAAAUUUAACGAUUAUUGUUUGGUGAUGACUAAAAUUUUAAAAUUUGAAAAGUACAUGAACUAAAAAUGACCAAAUUAAAGUAUAAAGAUUAAGUCCACAACUUUUGCAAAGUACAAGGACUAAUAGCAGAAAUUAACCUAAAUUUCAUAUGGGUCAAUUACAAAAAUAAUCACUAAACUAUUCCUUUGGUUCUAUUCUAGUCACUCAACUAUAGAGGUGCUCAUGGGCUGAGCCAGGUCAAGCCUAAGUAUGAUAUUAAUGUAUUUUAUACUUGCUCAAGCUUGGCUCGGCCUGAAAUAUGAGCUUAAAAUUUUGCCUGAACUCAUCCAUAUUUGCAAAAGACUAACCCAAGCUCAUUUUAAGCAUGCCUAUAUAAUUUUUAAUUUUUUUUAAAUAUUUAUAUUAUAUUAUAUUAAUUAAUAAUUUAAACAUUUUUUAUUUAUUAAAAUUUUUUAUAGUCAUUUUAACAUUAUUUUAAUGUUUACAUUAUAGUAUUAUUAUAUAUUUAGUAUAAGUAUUUUUUUAAUAUGUUCUAAUUUAUAUAAUAUAAAGUAUUAUACACUUAAAAACGGGCCGGGCUGGGCUUGAGCUUUAGUUGUUACUCAACUAUUAAUUUUUUCGAUUUAGUUGUUAACCUUUUCAAAAGUAAAUAUUUUAGUCAGUCUCCUAUUAGUUGUUGUUAAAUGAGUGACGGAAAGCUAAUGUGAGCUUUUUUUAUUAGUCUAAUAACAAAUUUAGCCCUCCAAUGUUUACACAUUCUAUCAAUUUGAUCGUAAAUAUAAAAAAAAAAUCAACAAAUUUAGCCCUGAAUAUUAACAAAACUUGUCAUUUUAGUUCAAAUUCUAAAAAAUUUAAUAAAUUUAACCUUUAAUAUUUUCAAAAAAAUAGCAAUUUAGUUCUAAUUCUAAAAAUUUUAAUAUAUAUAUUUAAAAAAAUAUUUCUAAUCCUCUGUCUCACCCUUUGAUUUUUUAGAUGAGCUAAAAUCAAAAUAUAUCAUUAUGUCUUUUUGUUUUAAUGCUAAAAGAGAUAAAAAAAAAUGGAAAGCUAAAAUGGCUUUUCGUUUGUGAAGUUAAAAAAUGCCAAAUAAAUUAUUAUGUCUUUUUAGUUUUAAUUUUUUACUUGAUUAAAAGAGAAAUAAUUAACGAAUGAAAAAUAAUUAUUCACAAAUAAAUUUAUCAGAAUUUAUAACAAAUGAGAUUUUAAAUUUGAAUUUAUAAAUCAAAAUUUAUAUAUAUAUAUAUAUAUAUAUAUAUAUAAAAGAAAACACAUUUUUAUGAAAUAUAAGAUUUUGUUAAAAGAAAGAGCAUAUAAAAGCAUACACGUUUUUAUGAAAUACAAGAUUUUGCUAAAAGAAAAAGCAUCCAAUUUUAAGAAUGAAAAAUAUGUGGUAAAAGCAUCCAUAACUUUUCAAUGUAAAAGAAAAAAAAACUGUAACACCAAUGUUGUGGUAUUAUUUGUUGCCUAUAAAUACCAUUCCUAUCCUUCAUCUUCCUCUACCAACAUAACAUGGCCUCCUCCUAUCUCUUUCUCUUUCUCUGCCUAUUCCUCUUCUUUCCCCAUCUUUAUGCUUCUUUUUCUUCUUCAGGAUCUCACUCCUGCUCUUCACUAAUCCAGUUUAAGGACUCUUUUUCCAUAACAGAGGAUGCUUCUUCUGAUUGCAAUGAGAUUGCUGGCCAUAAAUUUUAUCCCAAGACCAAUUCAUGGAAGGAGGGUACAGAUUGCUGCUCAUGGGAUGGGGUCACUUGCGACCACCUAAAUGCUCAUGUUAUUGCCCUUGACUUGAGCUGCAGUUGGCUAUAUGGCAACUUCCCUUCCAAUUCCACUCUCUUCCUUCUUCCUCACCUUCAAAAACUCAACCUUGCCUACAAUUAUUUUAAUCUUUCCAAAAUUCCAUCCGAGUUCGGUCGGUUUACAAGCCUAUUCUACCUCAACCUUUCUUAUACAUGGUUUGCAGGAGAAGUCCCAUCCCAAGUCUCCCACCUGUCAAAAUUGGUUUCACUUGAUCUCUCCUUUUGGAUUGAUAACUAUGAGCAACUUACAAUUGACAAACAUGCUCUGGAGGGACUUGUUCACAACCUAACCGAGGUCAGACAUCUGUUUUUGGAUGGAAUCAACAUGACUUCUGUUAAUGCUCAUGUCUUCAUGAAUCUAUCCUCUUCUCUAAGAUCUCUCAGUCUUGCUGGUUGUGAUUUGCAAGGAAAAUUCCCAAAAAACAUUUUUGAUUUGCCAAACCUCAAUCUCCUCAACUUGGGAGGCAACCAAUUGAGUGGACAAAUUCCAAGAUCAUUGGGGAACCUCUUGCAACUCACUGUUUUAGACUUGUGGGGGAACAAAUUGAGUGGACAAAUUCCAUUGUCAAUUCUAAACCUAACGCAGUUGGAAUACUUGGUAAUAUCUGAAAAUUCUUUAGAAGGUUCUAUUCCAGAUGAGGUAACCGCUGUUCCGAAUCUAAUAUAUUUAGUCUUAUAUGACAAUUUACUCAAUGGAACACUUCCGUCAUGGUUGUAUACUGCUCCCUCCUUAAAGGGUAUAAUUCUCUCUCAAAAUCAAUUCAGUGGGCAUAUCAAAGAAUUCCAAACCAAAUCACUAGAAUAUUUAGAUCUAGAAAAUAAUAAACUCCAAGGUCCCCUUCCAUCUUCAAUAUUCCAACUUCUCAAUCUUACCGGGCUCCUUUUAUCCUCAAAUAAUCUUAGUGGUGUCAUAGAGUUUCGCAUGUUCUCAAACCUUCCAAAUCUCAAAUAUCUUUACCUUUCAUAUAACAACCUAUCCUUAACAUCUAAUUCUACUUCUACUGUUAAUCAUAUAUUGCCUAAUCUUACAGACGUACUUUUGUCAUCUUGCAAUCUUAGUGAAUUCCCCCAGUUUUUAAAAGGGCUUAAAAGUUUGGAAAGCUUAGACCUCUCUUGCAACAAAAUUGAAGGCAAGAUUCCACAGUGGAUGCAAGAGGUGGGGAAUGUCUCUUUGACUUACUUCAACGUAUCUCACAACUCUUUGACAGAAGUUGAGCACUUUCCAUGGAAGAAUAUUGAAAGGCUUGACUUAAGCUCCAAUUUGAUCAGUGGAAAUCUUCCGAUUCCAGCUUCGACCAUCAGUGUCUUUUUUAUCUCAAAUAAUAGUUUCAAUGGAGAGGUCUCUUCUUUAAUAUGCAAUGCCAGUUCUCUUCGAAUUCUUGAUUUGUCCCACAAUAACUUGAGUGGACCAAUUCCGCAAUGUUUUGGAAAUUUGAGUGACAGCCUUGAAAUCUUGAAUCUGAAGAAGAACAAGUUCUAUGGGACGAUUCCUCCAAAAUUUGCAAAGGGAUGCCGAUUGACUAAUUUCAACUUAAAUGGAAAUCUGUUAGAAGGGCCAUUGACUCCAUCCAUCCUUAAUUGUAGGGGUCUGGAAGUGCUAGAUCUUGGUAACAACAAGAUCAAUGAUACAUUUCCUCAUUGGUUGGGAAGUCUUCCACAGCUACAAGUUCUUGUAUUGAAGUCAAAUCAUAUGCAUGGUUCCUUAUGUGUCAAUAGCUCUAAGUCUAGCCCUUUUUUCUCUAAAAUCCAAAUUUUUGACCUCUCAAGUAACUAUUUUUCUGGACCCCUACCAGUGAGAUACAUCAACAGCUUCAAGGCUAUCAUAAAUGUAGAGAAGAUUGGUAGUACAGUGUCGUACAUGGGGGUGAAUGAUGAUGGAGGUGACUUCUAUACCUAUUCCAUUGGAAUUGUCAUGAAAGGGAGAGAUAUGGAAUUGGUGAAAAUUUUCACCAUGUGGAUGAUCAUUGAUCUAUCAAACAAUCAGUUUGAAGGGGGUAUUCCAGAGGUUUUUGGGAAGCUUAACUUACUGAAAGGGCUCAACCUUUCUCAUAAUAACCUUAAUGGUGGUAUCCCCACCUUAAUAGGGAAUUUGACAAGUCUUGAAUGGUUGGACCUAUCUUCAAACAGGUUGUCUGGGACGAUUCCAAAUAGAUUGGCAGAUCUGCCAUUUCUUUCGUCCUUCAAUGUUUCUGAAAAUCAACUCCAUGGUCAGAUUCCUCAAGGCAAACAGUUCAACACAUUUGGAAAUGAUUCAUAUGAAGGAAACAAGGCAUUAUGUGGAUUUCCGGUCUCAAAAGGUUGCAACAUCAUUGAGCCAGCACCUCCAAAUGUGCUUGAAAAAGAUGGCUCAAAAUCAAACAUUACUUUUGGUUGGAAAGUGGUGUUGAUAGGUUAUGGAUGCGGAGUGGUGUUCGGAAUGUCCGUGGGAUAUGUUGUUUUCCAAACUGGUAAGCCGAAAUGGUUGGUGAAUUUGGUUGAAAUCCAACAUGAGAAGAAGCGAAGAAGAAAGUCAAAGGAUGGCAGUCGCAGCAAUGGACGAAGAAGAAUCUAGUUAGUGGAAAUGAUGUUCAAGUGUUGAUGUUGUAUCUUCAUAAUUUCUUGUUUUGAAGUCUGUCAAAUUUUUUUCCUAUCGUGAAAGGCUGCAUUGCCAUGCAUCUGUCUUUUUUAUUGUAACCAUUCAUCUAUAUUUCAUUGCAUUACGUAGUAUUUGUAAGGGUUUGUUUUAAAUGUAACAUUUUGUAUGGUUCAACUAUUUAUGUCUCUUUCAUGAGUUUCAUUUUUGAGUCUCAAUAAUCUCUGCAUUCAAGAUUUUGUCAGCUUAUUAAUUGGUGGAUCAAUAAUCUUCAUGCUCAUCUCAUCAUCUUUUUCUCGAGUUAAACACAGUCACUACUAUAAUAAUUUCUUCUGUGUGGAAAAUAAUUUGGCAUUCUGCAAAUUUCCACAAUGCUUGUGGAUUACCUCUGGUUGACGGCUAUACAUAUAAAGGAAGGAAACAAGACUAUGUCAAAAUUUCCAAAAAUCAGUCAUUCAUUUUUGAACAAUUAAACAUUCCUAUUCUAUUUUUCAAAAUUGUAAAUCCUCAAAUAAUGUAAAUUAGUCCUAAAACUCAAGUUUUGAAAUCUUUACAAUUUAACCCCUUAUAGUUUCAAACUUUACUAUUUUAUGCUCAACUUUCUAAAUCUUCAUAUUUCAUGAUCAUAUAAUUUAGUUAUUACAUCAAUAUUUCAGAUUUCACUACUCAAACCCUUACUUCAUUUUGGUCCUUACUUCAAUUUUUUCAAAUUAAAUCAAUUUUCAAUUUGACUGCAUUGAUGUGAAAUUGAGGGAGCACUAAACAAUGUUGAUGCGAGUUUAGGUAAAAUUGGUGGAUCCCAUCUCCUUAGUAAUUUCUUUAUGGAAGUAGCUGCUUUCACACUGCAAACUUGAAUAGUUUGUGGUGGACGAUGAUGAAUCAUUUGACAAUCAAACACAUAAUUUUUAAACACAAAAUUAACGAUAUUUUGAAAUCAUUAUUGAAAUUAUAAUCAAAAUUAAUACAUGUUCUUUUUAUUAGCUUAAGGUCGUAAAAACCCUUCAAAAUUUUCAAAAAAAAAAAAAAUUUAAGUCCCUCUUUUUUUUUUUCUAAUUUUUAAUAAAAGUAGGGGCUUAAUUGCUUUUUUUUUUUUAAGUUUGAGGGUCUUUUUGAUGCAUUUUGAAAGUUCAAGUACCCAAUUGAGUGCAAGAAGAAAGUAGGGGCUUAAUUGCUUUUUUUUAUGUAUUUUGAACGUUCAUGUACCCAAAUGAGUGCAUAAAAAAAACAGGGGUUUAGUUGCUAUUUUUGAAAAGGGUUUGAGGGCUUUUUGCACCCUUAAACCUCUUUUCUUUUUCUAAAUUUAAUUUAGAACCAACUUUGAGUAAAGACUUGGGAAAUUUAAUUAGCAAAAUUUCUUUCCAUGUAAAUAUUUCCCCUAUUUCUUGUUGGAAUUUAAAGCAAUACAAUAUUUUUGUAGCUAGUAACAGAAAACGACAGUCAAUUAAUUCCAAGCAAUACAAAAUAUCCAGUCUGGUGGAAAAUUUGUUUGUUAGAUUCUAUUAUUCAACUUUUAAGGCAUAAGUCUGAAUAUAGGGACUAAAUUUUUAAAGUGUUGUUUAUUUUAAAAUCUAUUAAUAUAUACACACUUAGGGACCAUAUAUAUAUAUAUCAUAUAUAUAUAUAUAUAUUCCAUUCUGGAUCUUUGUCGUGUUUUGUUGGUUGGCUCUGGCCUUGUUGUUGUUUCCACUGCCUGUGGUCUCUGUUUCUAAGUCAUAUGUGGCCUUGUUUGCUAGACCUUAGUUGCUCUUCACAUGUCUUGUAUUUUGUCAAGUUAAUUGAAAUGGAAAAUAAAAGUGUUGGCAUUACAGAUUAGAGUAAAAGGAAUUAGUGUUGAAGUUGGGGUUGUUCAAUUGUUGGAAUUCAUGUGUGUAUUUUUUUGAGUAUCUGGGUCUUUGUCGUGUUUUCUUGGUUGGCUAUGGCGGCCUUCUUGUUGUUCCCACUGUCUGUGGUAUUUGUUUCUAAGUCAUAUGUGGCCUUGUAUGCUAGACCUUAGUUGCUAAGUUAAAGGGAGUGAAUAGAGCACCAUAUUUCUUCUUCUGCGUGGAAAAUAAGUUGGCAUUAUGCCAAUUUCCACAUUCAUACAUAUAAAGGAAGCAAGAGCAAGUCAAUAUACUUUGUAAUCUCAUCAAUUCUUCUUCUUUCUUUAGGGAGUUCAAAUGAAAUACAAAUUUUUGGUAAAUCAACUCUUCAUUUUUAUGAAUAAAAAUUAUAUGGUAGAAAGGAAGUGGUGUUAAUAAUAAUAAUAAUAAUAAAAAGAUUAACAAUAGAACACUAAUAAAGCAAUUUAGUCUAUGAUCUGCACAAUAUAUUACUACAAAUGUACCGUACAGAAUAUUGAAAGAAAACUAAUAAAGAAGUUCGAAAUUUAAACAAUGUUCCGCAAAUUAUGUUUAUGAUCUGCUGUAAAUUGAUAUGUUAAAUCAACUCUUCAUUUUUAUGAAUAAAAAUUAUAUGGUAAAAAGGAAGUGGUGUUAAUAAUAAUAAUAAAGAUCAACAAUAGAAAACUAAUAAAGCAAUUUAGUCUAUGAUCUGCAUAAUAUAUUACUACAAAUGUACCGUACAGAAUAUUGAAAGAAAACUAAUAAAGAAAUCCGAAAUUUUAACAAGGUUCCGCAAAUUAUGUUUAUGAUAUGAUGUAAAUUGAUAUGUCAAAUUUUGUGGCAAGUAAUAGAAAAUGACAAAUUCCACAUUCAUACAUAUAAAGGAAGCAAGAUCAAGUCAAUAUACUUUGUAAUCUCAUCACUUCUUCUUCUUUCUUUAGGGAGUUCAAAUGAAAUACAAAAUUUUGGUAAAUCAACUCUUCAUUUUUAUGAAUAAAAAUUAUAUGGUAAAAGGAAGUCUUGUUAAUAAUAAUAAUAAGAUUAACAAUAGAAAACUAAUAAAACAAUUUAUCCAAAUAUCAAAAUAAAUAUUAACUUUUUCAGAAACCAAAAUUAUUUUCUAAAAAUUAUUUUUUAAAAACUAUUUUUAGUGAAACAAACUGAGUCUUAGCCCAUAUUGUAAAUUAUUUUGUGGGUCUGGAAUUCUUGUACAUUAUGCUGCAAAAGAGUGAAAUUUCCUUACAGCUAGUCGAUCAAGUUUGGUUGAAAUUGAAUGCAUUGAUGUGAAAUUGAGGGAGCCUAAACAAUGUUGAUGCGAGUUUAGGUAAAAUUAGUGGAUCCCAUCUCCUUAGUAAUUUCUUUAAGGAAGUAUCUGCUUUCACACUGUGUUGACAACUUCCCACAGAUCAAAGGCCUGCAGGUAAGUCUUCAUAUUUACCAGCCAUAUGUGAAAACCUUCUCCAUUGAAGACUGGUGGGACUGCUGGUGAAAAUCCUGAAGAAGCCAUCAGGUUUCUUGAUUUGAAGCAACAGGUCCACUAAGAAAAGGGCUCUAGAUACCAAUUGUUGGUGUAAAAGGGCAGAAGCAAACUGAUUUAAGCUUGCUUAUACAGCAAGCCUCGAGCCUUGUAGAAGAAACAAUCUCAGCAGAAAGCAAAAAUGAAGCUUGCAGUUGGAAAAACAAGAAAACAAGGAGAGAAUUUGAAUGAAAAACAAGCUGAGUUGUUCAUUAACAUUACAACAAGGCAUAUUGCCAUUACAUAUAUCAGUUAACUUGUCAAAUAAACAAGUAAUCACCUAAUCAAUUACCUAACACCACUAAUAUGCAUUGAAACUUACAAAAUUAGCUUGCAAACAUUACAUUGCUGAUAUUUCAGUCAAUCAACAUCAAAAUUACACCAAAACAUUCACCUGCUUAGUUCAAUGUGAACUAGAUUACAAAAUGAUUAAAAUACAACUAAAACAACAAGUGGUUCAGUAACUUGAAGCUUCAGCUGCUGCACACCAUGGCUCGAUUGCCUGCUGCCAUUUCUUCUUGCAUGGCCACCUUUGCAUGGGAACUAAACUCAACAUACACGAACUAAUGCAAAUAUGCUAGUGGUUUAUUUUCCACCUAUCUGAUUUUUUAAAAUGUUCUUCAGUUACACCAGUUGAUGCAAUCUAUUAUUACCUGCCUCGUUGCAAAAAGGUUAGGAAAUAAAUUCACCGACAAUCAUUGGGAACUAAGAAACUUCGCAGCAAAGCUAGUGGCAUCAAUAUGCAAAAGGUGAAGAUUCUUUUCUUUUGGACUUAUACAUGCAUAUUCGUUUUUAUGAAUUUCAGGUGUCUGAGUUUUUAGUUAUAAACUUGGAUCUAUUCUUCAAAUCAUGUGUAUAUCAUUUUUAUGCUAUUUCACACUUGCAAAACAAAUGGUGCGAGCGUGCAUGUUAUAUGCAGAAUACAUAGAUUAAUUACAUGUGGAUCAUUAAGCAUGCCUAUGUUUGACGAUUGUGUGUGGCUACCUUUUUUUACAUGAUCCAAUUUUCGAUAUGCUUUGCUUUUAGGUUGAAUGCGGAAAAGAUUAGAACUUAAUUUCCAGCAUAAUGAUUUGUCUUGGAUAUGCAGAUUUUACAUGCAUUUCUUACAAGUCAAUAUUUUAUAGAUUUGGGCAUGUUUAUCACAAUCUUCAGCCACGUGUGACAAGGACACUGCUCCACGCUUUUUUGGACCCAACGAAAACAUUUCCCCAGUAUUACGGAGCAAUUCAAGGGUUAGCAGCCCUUGGACCCAGUGUGGUAUAAUUCUAAUCUCAAAUAUUUACUAGCAACACAAUAAGAUACUUGUUUGUGGGAUCAAUUGGUCAAAGAUAUUGCAAUGAUAGCCAUCUUUUUAAGCCCAUUUCUUUCAGAAAACUGUUUUGUCACUCUUUUCUGCAAGAUCCGAAGAAAGAAAGAACAUGGAAAUCUUUAGUCCAAAAGUGUAAAUAUGCGGUUUCUCUAUAGCUAUCUUGAUUAUGGCAUCUGUAAAGUUUGUCUUUCAUAUGUUUGGCUAACGCUUCUUCAUCCAUAUGUAGGUUCGUUUACUUAUACUACCAAACCUUGAAGCGUAUUUGCAGCUUCAUGAACCUGAAAUAAAAAGACACGAGGCCUGGUGUUUUUAUGGGGCCCUGCUGGUAAGUUUAACAUCAAAUUUGGUACCAGUUUACGAGCAUCAUUUCAUUUAUUUGCUAUAGAACUAACAACACUGCAUAAAAUUUCCACUAAAAGCGUGCAGCUGGACUGUGCAUGUAUGAUCGGCUUAAAAUGUUCCCCAGUUUGCUAGCACCCCCAACUCGGCCCGUCUGGAAAAGCAACAACAAAGUUGCGACAAGUAUGAUUUCUUCGAACCAUCAUAUUUACACUUAAUCCACAGGUCUCUUCUCCCCCUUUACGAUUUUCCUUUUUCUGAUCAAUCAAGAUAAACGAAAAGCAAGCACGGACGCCUUGAUGCAGCAGCAACCACCUGCGAAGAAAAUAGCAACUGAGAGUGCAAUAGGUAUGAUGCCAAUAAAUUCCAUGCAAACUGAUUUACAAGGGGCAGUUAGCAGCUUUUCUACCACCGUAGGAGGUUCCAAUAUCGGUGUAUCAUCAAUGUCACGGCCGUUAUCAAACGAUAACAUGCUAGGAAGGGAGGUUGGGGGUCGAGUUUCAAGGACAUCAACCGUUCUAGCUCAGGCUUGGAAGGAAGACACAGACCCAGGGAACUUGUUAGCAUCAUUAUUUGAACUUUUUGGUGAAAGUAUGUAAUUAAAAUAAUAUAUUGGCUUAACCCUCCUAAAUUAUGUAUUUUUUUCCAUCUUGGGACCUAAAUUUUUUUGGGGUCAUAAGUGGUACCUAAACUACAUUUUUUCUCCUUCAAAUUAGUAUCUUCAUUAAUUAAACCGUUAAGUCUAUUUAAAAAAGAAAGACUCGAACAACAAAUUAAUACCUAAACAGUGCUCUUUUUCUCAAGGUACCUAAUUUUUAUUUUGGCCAUAAGUACUACUAAAACUAUUCUUCCGUUACUCAUUUUACACCAAAAUGUUAUAUCGGCUGAAAAGAUUCCAACAAAUAAUAGAUUGUAUGUUAUAUAAACUUUUAAAAAUAAUUAUUAUUUAAUUAAUUUUUUAUAUUUUUCUUUCUUAUUCCUUUCUAAUGUUUGGCAAUGCUGAUAAUGUUUGAAAUUGUCCCACUUGAGGUCAAAAUACUGGUGAUUAAUUUUGGUUUUGAAUUUCACCACCUACUUCUUUGACCUAAGGGGAUAGAAAAUGUUCUUUUAUCGAUCAAAACUAGUAUUUUCAAAAACAGAUUGAUUCAACUGGUUGGAUAGGAAAUCGGUCUGGAAAUAAGGGUUGAAUCGAUUGACUUGCGACCAAAAACAAAUCAGUUGAACUAAGUUAAAAAAACUGGUUGAACUAGUUCUCUCCAUUUAUAUAUAUAUAAAUAAUAAUAGUCUUUUUUUGUACUAUAUGUCAAUUUUUAAUUGGUUAAUUUUUUUUUUCAUAUAAACUGAACGGUUUGACUAAUGACGGAGGUACCAAAUUAUAGUCUAGGUACCAAUUCAUGGGUUAAGCCUAUUUCUACAAUAGACUUUUGACUAAUGGCGGUAGUAACUUGGGAAAAAAAAAGUAGUUUAUGUACCACUUGUGACAAAAAAUAAGUUUAGGUACUAUCAUGGGAAAAUGAGUAUAAUUUAGAUACUAAUUUAUGAGUUAAGCCUAAUAUAUUUGCCACAUCAUUUUUUGAAAAUAACAGAACUUAAUAAAUUUAACGGUUAUUAUUUGAUGAUGACUAAAAUUUUUAAAUUUGAAAAGUACAUGAACUAAAAAUGACCAAAUUAAAGUAUAAAGAUUAAGUCCACAACUUUUGCAAAGUACAAGGACUAAUAGCAGAAAUUAACCUAAAUUUCAUAUGGGUCAAUUACAAUAAUAAUCACUAAACUAUUCCUUUGGUUCUAUUCUAGUCACUCAACUAUAGAGCUGCUCAUGAGCCGGGCCAGGUUAGGCCUAAGCAUGAUAUUAACGUACUUUAUGCUUGCUCAAGCUUGGCUCGGCCCGAAAUAUGAGCUUAAAAUUUCGCCUAAACUCAUCAAUAUUUGCAAAAGACUAACCCAAGCUCAUUUUAGGCAUGCCCAUAUAAUUUUUAGUUUUUUUUUUUUAAAUAUUUAUAUUAUAUUAUUUUAAGAAUUAAUAAUUUGAACUAUAGUAUUAUUAUAUAUUUAGUAUAAGUUUAUUUUUUAAUCUGUUCUAAAUUAUAUAAUAUAAAAUAUUAUACACUUAAAAACGGGCCGGGCUGGGCUCGAGCUUUAAAUGUUCAAGUCUUAACCCGGCCCAUAUUUUAAACGGGCUUAAUUUUUUUACCAAAACCCAAUUUUCGGGCCUAAUUUUUUUACUCAGACCCUCCCAAAUUUUGGGCUGCCCUUGGGCUUUGGCAAGUAGCCCAACUCAUGAACAAGUUUACUCAACUAUUAAUUUUUUCGAUUUAGUUGUUAACCUUUUCGAAAGUAAAUAUUUUAGUCAUUCUCCUAUUAGUUGUUGUUAAACGAGUGACGGAAAGCUGAUGUGGGCUUUUUUUAUUAGUCUAAUAACAAAUUUAGCCCUCCAAUGUUUACACAUUCUAUCAAUUUGAUCCUAGAUAUAAAAAAAUCAACAAAUUUAGCCCUGAAUGUUAACAAAACUUGUCAUUUUAGUUCAAAUUCUAAAAAAUUUAAUAAAUUUAACCCUUAAUAUUUUCAAAAAUUAGCAAUUUAGUUCUAAUUCUAAAAAUUUUAAUAUAUAUAUUUAAAAAAAUAUUUUUAAUCAUCUGUCUCACCCUUUGAUUUUUUAGAUGAGCUAAAAUCAAAAUGAGAUAAAAAAAAAUAAAAAGUUAAAAUGACUUUUCGUUUGUAAAGUUAAAAAAUGCUAAAUAAAUCAUUAUGUCUUUUUAGUUUUAAUUUUUUACUUGAUUAAAAGAGAAAUAAUUAACAAAUGAAAAAUAAUUAUUUCUAUAUAAAUUUAUCAAAAUUUAUAACAAAUGAUAUUUUAGAUUUGAAUUAUCAGACUAUAUAUAUAUAAGUAUACACAUUUUUAUGAAAUAAAAGAUUUUGCUAAAAGAAAAAGCAUCCAAUUUUAAGAAUGAAAAAUAUAUGGUAAAAGCAUCCAUAACUUUUCAAUGUUAAAGACAAAAAAGACUGUAACACCAAUGUUGUGGUAUUAUUUGUUGCCUAUAAAUACCAUUCCUAUCCUUCUUCUUCCUCUACCAACAUAACAUGGCCUCCUAUCUCUUUCUCUCCCUAUUCCUCUUCUUUCUCCAUCUUUAUGCUUCUUUUUCUUCUUCAGGAUCUCACUCCUGCUCUUCACUAAUCCAGUUUAAGGACUCCUUUUCCAUAAGAGAGGAUGCUUCUUUUGAUCAUUGCGAUUAUUUUGCUGGCCUUAAAUCUUAUCCCAAGACAAAUUCAUGGAAGGAGGGUACAGAUUGCUGCUCAUGGGAUGGGGUCACUUGUGACCACCUAAAUGCUCAUGUUAUUGCCCUUGACUUGAGCUGCAGUUGGCUAUAUGGCACCUUCCCUUCCAAUACCACUCUCUUCCUUCUUCCUCACCUUCAAAAACUCAACCUUGCCUACAAUGAUUUUAAUUCUUCCAAAAUUCCAUCCGAGUUCGGUCGGUUUACAAGCCUAUUCUACCUCAACCUUUCCAAUACAUGGUUUUCAGAAGUCCCAUCCCAAGUCUCCCACCUGUCAAAAUUGGUUUCACUUGAUCUUUCUGGGUUUGAUGAACUAUUAACAAUUGACAAAUAUGCUCUGGAGGGUCUUGUUCACAACCUAACCGAGGUCAGACGUCUGUUUUUGGAUGAAAUGGACAUGUCUUCAGUUAAUGCUCAUGUCUUCAUGAAUCUAUCCUCUUCUCUAAGGUCUCUCAGUCUUGUUGGUUGUGAUUUGCAAGGAAAAUUCCCAAAAAACAUUUUUGAUUUGCCAAACCUCAAUCUCCUCAACUUGGGAGGCAACCAAAACCUCAAUCUUGAUCCUUUGAAGUUCAAUCGGAGCAGCAAUCUUGAACAAUUGAUAAUUUCAGACGCAAAUAUUUGUGGAGGAUUGCCUGACUCGAUGGGGAAUCUUGUGUCCUUGAAGUUUUUAGUUCUCUCCCAUUCCAACUUAUCAGGACUGGUUCCAAGAUCACUGGGGAAUCUCUUGAAACUCACUCAUUUAGACUUGUCGGAGAACCAAUUGAGUGGACAAAUUCCAAGAAAAUUGGGGAACCUCUUGCAACUCACUCAUUUAGACUUGUCGAAGAACCAAUUGAGUGGACAAAUUCCAAGAUCAUUAGGGAACCUCUUGCAACUCACUCAUUUAGACUUGUGGCUGAACCAAUUGAGUGGACAGAUUCCAAGAUCAUUGGGGAACCUCUUGCAACUCACUGUUUUAGACUUGGGAUGGAACAAAUUGAGUGGACAAAUUCCAUUGUCAAUUCUAAACCUAACGCAGCUGGAAUACUUGACAAUAUCUAACAAUUCUUUAGAAGGUUCCAUUCCAGAUGAGGUAACCGCUUUUCAUAAUCUAAUAUAUUUAGACUUAUCUGACAAUUUACUCAAUGGAACACUGCCGUCAUGGUUGUAUACUGCUCCCUCCUUAAAGACAAUAUAUCUCUCUCAAAAUCAAUUCAGUGGGCAUAUCAAAGAAUUCCAAUCCAAAUCACUAGAAUGGAUAUGGUUAGAGAAUAAUAAACUCCAAGGUCCUCUUCCAUCUUCAAUAUUCCAACUUCUCAAUCUUACCCAACUUAGCUUAUCCUCAAAUUAUCUUAGUGGUGUCAUAGAGUUUCGCAUGUUCUCAAACCUUCCAAAUCUCGAAUAUCUUGACCUUUCAUAUAACAGCCUAUCCUUAACAUCUAAUACAACUUCUACUGUUAAUCUUACAAGCUUAUUUUUGUCAUCUUGCAAUCUUAGUGAAUUCCCCCAAUUUUUAAAAGGGCUUAAAAGUUUGGAAAGCUUAGACCUCUCUUGCAACAAAAUUGAAGGCAAGAUUCCACAGUGGAUGCGAGAGGUGGGGAAUGGCUCUUUGACUCACUUAAAUGUAUCUCACAACACUUUGACAGAAGUUGAGCACUUUCCAUGGAAGAAUAUUGAUGUUCUUGACUUAAGCUCCAAUUUGAUCAGUGGAAAUCUUCCGAUUCCAGCUUCGACCAUAAGAGUCUUUUUGAUCUCAAAUAAUAGUUUCAAUGGAGAGGUCUCUUCUUUAAUAUGCAAUGCCGCUUUUCUUGAAAUUCUUGAUUUGUCCCACAAUAACUUGAGUGGAACAAUUCCACAAUGUUUUGGAAAUUUGAGCAACAGCCUUCUAUUCUUGAAUCUGAAGAAGAACAAGUUUUAUGGGACGAUUCCUCCAGCAUUUGCAAAGGGAUGCCGAUUGAGUAAUUUCAACUUAAAUGGAAAUCUGUUAGAAGGGCCUUUGACACCAUCCAUGAUCCAUCCUUAAUUGUAAUGGUCUGGAAGUGCUAGAUCUUGGUAACAACAAGAUCAAUGAUACAUUUCCUCAUUGGUUGGGAAGUCUUCCACAGCUACAAGUUCUUGUAUUGAAGUCAAAUCAACUGCAUGGUUCCUUAUGUGUCAAUAGCUCCAAGUCUAUCCCUUUUUUCUCUAAAAUCCAAAUUUUUGAUCUCUCAAGUAAUUAUUUUUCUGGACCCCUACCAGUGAGAUACAUCAACAGCUUCAAGGCUAUCAUAAAUCUAGAGAAGAUUGGGAGUACAAUGUCGUACAUGGGGGUGUAUGCUCAGAGAGGUAGUGCCUUCUAUACCCAUUCCAUUGGAAUUGUUAUGAAAGGACAAGAUAGGGAAUUGGUGAAAAUUUUCACCAUGUGGAUGAUCAUUGAUCUAUCAAACAAUCAGUUUCAAGGGGGUAUUCCAAAGGUUAUUGUGAAGCUUAACUUGCUGAAAGGGCUCAACCUUUCUCAUAAUAACCUUAAUGGUGGUAUCCCCACCUCAAUAGGGAAUUUGACAAGUCUUGAAUGGUUAGACCUAUCUUCAAACAGUUUGUCUGGGACGAUUCCAAAUAGAUUGGCAGAUCUGCCAUUUCUUUCGUCCUUCAAUGUUUCUGAAAAUCAACUCCAUUGUCAGAUUCCUCAAGGCAAACAGUUCAACACAUUUGGAAAUGAUUCAUAUGAAGGAAACAAGGGAUUAUGUGGAUUUCCGGUCUCAAAAGGUUGCAACAUCAUUGAGCCAGCACCUCUAAAUGUGCUUGAAAAAGAUGGCUCAAAAUCAAACAUUACUUUUGGUUGGAAAGUGGUGUUGAUAGGUUAUGGAUGCGGAGUGGUGUUCGGAAUGUCCGUGGGAUAUGUUGUUUUCCAAACUGGUAAGCCGAAAUGGUUGGUGAAUUUGGUUGAAAUCCAACAUGAGAAGAAGCGAAGAAGAAAGUCAAAGGAUGGCAGUCGCAGCAAUGGAUGAAGAAGGAUCUAGUUAGUGGAAAUGAUGUUCAAGUGUUGAUGUUGUAUCUUCAUAAUUUCUUGUUUUGAAGUCUUUCAAUUUUUUUCCUAUGGUGAAAGGUUGCAUUGCCAUGCAUCUGUCUUUACUUUUGUAACAAUUCAUCUGUCAUAAUAUUAUAGAUUUUAUUGAUUUUAAUUUUUUCUCUAAUUUUUAAUAAAAAUAGGGGCAUAAUUGCUUUUUUUUUUUAAGUUUGAGAGUAUUUUUUAUGCAUUUUGAAAGUUCAAGUACCAAAUUGAGUGCAAAAAAAAAAAGAGUAGGGGCUUAAUUACUUUUUUUGAAAAUGUUUGAGAGCUUUUUUGAUGUAUCAAAUGAAAUACAAAUUUUGAGUAAAUCAACUAUUCAUUUUUAUGAAUAAAAAUUAUAUGGUAAAAAGGAAGUAGUGUUAAUAAUAAUAAAAAAGAUCAACAAUAGAAAACUAAUAAAGCAAUUUAGCCUAUGAUCUGCGCAAUAUAUUACUACAAAUGUACUGUACAAAAUAUUGAAGAAAACUAAUAAAGAAAUCUGAAAUUUUAACAAGUUCCGCAAAUAAUGUUUAUGAUUUGCUGUAAAUUGAUAUGUCAAAUUAGGCUCUCCAUCACACUUAAAAGUUUAUUUUCGAGCAAUUUAGAUAUCUUUGUUGCGUUUUUAUUUUGUUUUAGUUGUUUAUAUUAAUAAAUGAUUAGUGUGCAUUUUGAUGCUAUUUUAAGACCUGAGAUGGCCAAAUGGCACCCGGGGAAUCUAAUGAGGUUGGUGAGUGAUGCAGAGAGCCCAUGGUGGCCCGGAAGGAACGAAAAUGUUACCUAGAAAGAGGGUAUCGCAUUUCAAAGCAUGAAAGUCGUAAUACCCAUAACAAUGUUAAAAACAAGGAAGAUUGAGCCAUCAACAAUGUUAUCGUGAUACCGGUCAUAAGAUAUCGCGAUACCCAAAACUUCCAAGGAUCCCCCAAGACUGUUGUGGAUAUCGCGAUACCAAACUUUGGGUAUCGCAAUAUCAUUGAUGAGAGGAGACAAAAUAUAACUGUAGGGGUAAUCCUUUUCCAACAUGUGGAAUGGCCAUGGGAUGUGUUGUUUUCCAAACCGGUAAGGCGAAAAGGUUCGUGAAUUUGGCUGAAGACCAACAUGAGAAGAGGCGAAGAAGAAAGCCAAAAUAUAGCAAUCGCAUCAAUGGAUGAAGAAGGAUCUAGUUGGUUCAAAUGAAGUUAAAGCAUUUGUGCUGUGUCUUCAUAAUUUCUUGUUUAGUAGUCUGUCAGAAAGUUUUUCCUAUGGUGAAAAGUUGCAUUGCUAUGUGUCUGUUUUUAUGAUUGUACCAAUUCCUCUGUAUUUCAUUGCAUUUCGUACUAUUUGUAAGGGUUUAGUUCAGUGUAACAUCUUGUAUGGUGCAACUAUGUAUGUCUUCUUUCUUGAAUUUCAACUUUUAGUAAACAUUAUACUGCUCACCAUAAAAAAAAUACAUGUAGAAUUACAAAAGAUUCAAUUAUUCAAGUUUGAGUUGCAUUUAUAAACAUGUGAUGAUGAGAAUUCAUGAACAAAAGGUAUGGUUUGAGCCCUUUUGCAAUAUGCGUUUAUGUUGCAUUUACCUAUAUAUCUAUCGACAAAUUUAAGAGUAAUAUUUACAAUAGCAUUGCAGAGUAACAUAUUUACGAUUGGAUUACACAGUCAAAAGAUUGCAGCAACGAUGAGAUUAAUCCAAUUACAGGAAUUGAUAUCCUAAAUGGCUUUUAGGUACGUAGCUUCAUUGACGGUACAAACUAGUUAAAAUUUCCAGAAUUCAUGUCUUUGUUUUCCCUCAAGUAAACGUAGUCAAUACUGCAAAUGGUGUGGAAGUAUUGUACAUUGUGGCCCAAAUGUCCAAAAUUUCCACAUUGCUUGUAAAUUAAGUGAUGAAAACCAAAACUGUUUGAGGCAUCCAAUUACCCACAGAGAUAGGAAGUAAGGACGCAUGUAUAAUUAUUAUCAUUAAUUAAAGCAUAUAUAAUUACAUUAAAUAUAGGAUAAACUAUAAAAAUAAUCACUUUUAUUUACCUCAUAUUACAUUUUAGUCACUUAUGUUUGAAAUGUUACAUUUUGGUCACUUACGUUAUCGUUUUGGUACGAAGUGGUCACUCUACCGUUAAGCUCCGUUACCUCCCUAACGGCGAUUCUACGUGAUAGUCCAAAUGAGUUUUAAAUGCCAACUUAAAUGUCUUGCGUGGCUGUCUAAAUUAAAUUUAUUUAAUUAAAAACUUAUUUUCAUCUCAACAACCGGACAUUCAAGUUCGCAUUUAAAACCCAUUUAGACUGCCACGUAGGACUGCCGAUAGGGAGGUAACAGAGUUUGAUAGUAGAGUAACCACUUCAUAACAAAACGAUAAUGUAAGUGGCUAAAACAUAACAUUUCAAACAUAAGUAAUUAAAAUAUAAUAUAAGGUAAACAAGCCUUAAAUAUAUAAAUUACUAUGAUUACUAUCAAGAUAGCAUUGACCUGUUCAACAGGCGGAACCAAUAGAUCUGACCAUUUGGUGACUCUAGCAGUCGAUAAGUGUGAGUGGCAGACUGUGCAACUUGUAACUAUGUUAAUUGAUGAAAAGCUUUUUGAUAGAAGAUAAUAAACUAGUGGCAAUGGCAAACGGUUCCAAGACGAGGUGGGACACCGAGGCUUUGUGUAACAGGGGAAUAGAUGCACUCAAUGCUGGCGGCUGUUGACUUGUAUUUCUCUCUAACAAUUUAAAUCACCAGCUUGCUUCAUCCAUCUAUAAAUAAGGGUCUUCUUCAGUUUCAUAAAUGCAUAGAAAAUUAACAAGCUCAAAUUCCUUCUUUUCAUAUUCAUCUCUUUUACUUUGAAUUGCAACUUUAUCCUGCCUAAAUUCCUCAACCAUGAACCACCCAUCAGGACAGCCUCAAAAUGAACUUCCUUGGUCCGCCGGAUUCUGCGAUUGUUGCUCUGACCUGAAAACUUG